GACGAACGCUGGCGGCGUGCUUAACACAUGCAAGUCGAACGAAGUGGCGAACGGGUGAGUAACGCGUAAUCAACCUGCCCUUCAGAGGGGGAAAACAGUUGGAAACGACUGCUAAUACCGCAUACUGAAGGAGGGGAUUGCGUAUGAUUAGCUAGUUGGAGAGGUAACGACACACCAAGGCGAUGAUCAGAAGCCGGUCUGAGAGGAUGAACGGCCACAUUGGGACUGAGACACGGCCCGGACUCCUACGGGAGGCAGCAGUGGGGAAUCUUCCGCAAUGGACGAAAGUCUGACGGAGCAACGCCGCGUGUCUGAAGAAGGCCGUCGUGUUGUAAAGGACUUUUGUCAGGGAAGCGGUACCUGAAGAAUAAGCACCGGCUAACUACGUGCCAGCAGCCGCGGUAAUUC
rnacentral:rRNA from 1 species